GGGUUGUGAGGUUAAGCGACUAAGCGUACACGGUGGAUGCCCUGGCAGUCAGAGGCGAUGAAGGACGUGCUAAUCUGCGAUAAGCGUCGGUAAGGUGAUAUGAACCGUUAUAACCGGCGAUUUCCGAAUGGGGAAACCCAGUGUGAUUCGUCACACUAUCAUUAACUGAAUCCAUAGGUUAAUGAGGCGAACCGGGGGAACUGAAACAUCUAAGUACCCCGAGGAAAAGAAAUCAACCGAGAUUCCCCCAGUAGCGGCGAGCGAACGGGGAGCAGCCCAGAGCCUGAAUCAGUGUGUGUGUUAGUGGAAGCGUCUGGAAAGGCGCGCGAUACAGGGUGACAGCCCCGUACACAAAAAUGCACAUGCUGUGAGCUCGAUGAGUAGGGCGGGACACGUGGUAUCCUGUCUGAAUAUGGGGGGACCAUCCUCCAAGGCUAAAUACUCCUGACUGACCGAUAGUGAACCAGUACCGUGAGGGAAAGGCGAAAAGAACCCCGGCGAGGGGAGUGAAAAAGAACCUGAAACCGUGUACGUACAAGCAGUGGGAGCACGCUUAGGCGUGUGACUGCGUACCUUUUGUAUAAUGGGUCAGCGACUUAUAUUCUGUAGCAAGGUUAACCGAAUAGGGGAGCCGAAGGGAAACCGAGUCUUAACUGGGCGUUAAGUUGCAGGGUAUAGACCCGAAACCCGGUGAUCUAGCCAUGGGCAGGUUGAAGGUUGGGUAACACUAACUGGAGGACCGAACCGACUAAUGUUGAAAAAUUAGCGGAUGACUUGUGGCUGGGGGUGAAAGGCCAAUCAAACCGGGAGAUAGCUGGUUCUCCCCGAAAGCUAUUUAGGUAGCGCCUCGUGAAUUCAUCUCCGGGGGUAGAGCACUGUUUCGGCAAGGGGGUCAUCCCGACUUACCAACCCGAUGCAAACUGCGAAUACCGGAGAAUGUUAUCACGGGAGACACACGGCGGGUGCUAACGUCCGUCGUGAAGAGGGAAACAACCCAGACCGCCAGCUAAGGUCCCAAAGUCAUGGUUAAGUGGGAAACGAUGUGGGAAGGCCCAGACAGCCAGGAUGUUGGCUUAGAAGCAGCCAUCAUUUAAAGAAAGCGUAAUAGCUCACUGGUCGAGUCGGCCUGCGCGGAAGAUGUAACGGGGCUAAACCAUGCACCGAAGCUGCGGCAGCGACGCUGAUGCGUUGUUGGGUAGGGGAGCGUUCUGUAAGCCUGUGAAGGUGUGCUGUGAGGCAUGCUGGAGGUAUCAGAAGUGCGAAUGCUGACAUAAGUAACGAUAAAGCGGGUGAAAAGCCCGCUCGCCGGAAGACCAAGGGUUCCUGUCCAACGUUAAUCGGGGCAGGGUGAGUCGACCCCUAAGGCGAGGCCGAAAGGCGUAGUCGAUGGGAAACAGGUUAAUAUUCCUGUACUUGGUGUUACUGCGAAGGGGGGACGGAGAAGGCUAUGUUGGCCGGGCGACGGUUGUCCCGGUUUAAGCGUGUAGGCUGGUUUUCCAGGCAAAUCCGGAAAAUCAAGGCUGAGGCGUGAUGACGAGGCACUACGGUGCUGAAGCAACAAAUGCCCUGCUUCCAGGAAAAGCCUCUAAGCAUCAGGUAACAUCAAAUCGUACCCCAAACCGACACAGGUGGUCAGGUAGAGAAUACCAAGGCGCUUGAGAGAACUCGGGUGAAGGAACUAGGCAAAAUGGUGCCGUAACUUCGGGAGAAGGCACGCUGAUAUGUAGGUGAAGCGACUUGCUCGUGGAGCUGAAAUCAGUCGAAGAUACCAGCUGGCUGCAACUGUUUAUUAAAAACACAGCACUGUGCAAACACGAAAGUGGACGUAUACGGUGUGACGCCUGCCCGGUGCCGGAAGGUUAAUUGAUGGGGUCAGCGCAAGCGAAGCUCUUGAUCGAAGCCCCGGUAAACGGCGGCCGUAACUAUAACGGUCCUAAGGUAGCGAAAUUCCUUGUCGGGUAAGUUCCGACCUGCACGAAUGGCGUAAUGAUGGCCAGGCUGUCUCCACCCGAGACUCAGUGAAAUUGAACUCGCUGUGAAGAUGCAGUGUACCCGCGGCAAGACGGAAAGACCCCGUGAACCUUUACUAUAGCUUGACACUGAACAUUGAGCCUUGAUGUGUAGGAUAGGUGGGAGGCUUUGAAGUGUGGACGCCAGUCUGCAUGGAGCCGGCCUUGAAAUACCACCCUUUAAUGUUUGAUGUUCUAACGUUGACCCGUGAUCCGGGUUGCGGACAGUGUCUGGUGGGUAGUUUGACUGGGGCGGUCUCCUCCUAAAGAGUAACGGAGGAGCACGAAGGUUGGCUAAUCCUGGUCGGACAUCAGGAGGUUAGUGCAAUGGCAUAAGCCAGCUUGACUGCGAGCGUGACGGCGCGAGCAGGUGCGAAAGCAGGUCAUAGUGAUCCGGUGGUUCUGAAUGGAAGGGCCAUCGCUCAACGGAUAAAAGGUACUCCGGGGAUAACAGGCUGAUACCGCCCAAGAGUUCAUAUCGACGGCGGUGUUUGGCACCUCGAUGUCGGCUCAUCACAUCCUGGGGCUGAAGUAGGUCCCAAGGGUAUGGCUGUUCGCCAUUUAAAGUGGUACGCGAGCUGGGUUUAGAACGUCGUGAGACAGUUCGGUCCCUAUCUGCCGUGGGCGCUGGAGAACUGAGGGGGGCUGCUCCUAGUACGAGAGGACCGGAGUGGACGCAUCACUGGUGUUCGGGUUGUCAUGCCAAUGGCACUGCCCGGUAGCUAAAUGCGGAAGAGAUAAGUGCUGAAAGCAUCUAAGCACGAAACUUGCCCCGAGAUGAGUUCUCCCUGACUCCUUGAGAGUCCUGAAGGAACGUUGAAGACGACGACGUUGAUAGGCCGGGUGUGUAAGCGCAGCGAUGCGUUGAGCUAACCGGUACUAAUGAACCGUGAGGCUUAACCUUACAACGCCGAAGGUGUUU
rnacentral:rRNA from 1 species